rnacentral:rRNA from 1 species
AUUGAACGCUGGCGGCAGGCCUAACACAUGCAAGUCGAGCGGAUGAAGGGAGCUUGCUCCUGGAUUCAGCGGCGGACGGGUGAGUAAUGCCUAGGAAUCUGCCUGGUAGUGGGGGAUAACGUCCGGAAACGGGCGCUAAUACCGCAUACGUCCUGAGGGAGAAAGUGGGGGAUCUUCGGACCUCACGCUAUCAGAUGAGCCUAGGUCGGAUUAGCUAGUUGGUGGGGUAAAGGCCUACCAAGGCGACGAUCCGUAACUGGUCUGAGAGGAUGAUCAGUCACACUGGAACUGAGACACGGUCCAGACUCCUAAGGGAGGCAGCAGUGGGAAAUAUUGGACAAUGGGCGAAAGCCUGAUCCAGCCAUGCCGCGUGUGUGAAGAAGGUCUUCGGAUUGUAAAGCACUUUAAGUUGGGAGGAAGGGCAGUAAGUUAAUACCUUGCUGUUUUGACGUUACCAACAGAAUAAGCACCGGCUAACUUCGUG